AUUGAACGCUGGCGGCAGGCCUAACACAUGCAAGUCGAACGGUAGCACAGAGAGCUUGCUCUCGGGUGACGAGUGGCGGACGGGUGAGUAAUGUCUGGGAAACUGCCCGAUGGAGGGGGAUAACUACUGGAAACGGUAGCUAAUACCGCAUAACGUCGCAAGACCAAAGUGGGGGACCUUCGGGCCUCACACCAGCCGAUGUGCCCAGAUUGGAUUAGCUAGUAGGUGGGGUAAUGGCUCCCCUAGGCGACGAUCCCUAGCUGGUCUGAGAGGAGGACCAGCCACACUGGAACUGAGACACGGUCCAGACUCCUACGGGAGGCAGCAGUGGGGAAUAUUGCACAAUGGGCGCAAGCCUGAUGCAGCCAUGCCGCGUGUAUGAAGAAGGCCUUCGGGUUGUAAAGUACUUUCAGCGGGGAGGAAGGCGGUGAAGUUAAUAGCUUCACCGAUUGACGUUACCCGCAGAAGAAGCACCGGCUAACUCCGUGCCAGCCGCCGCCGUAA
rnacentral:rRNA from 1 species